rnacentral:piRNA from 1 species
GCAGAAUGGGAUUUGCCUACCUCUUGUAAGU